AUCAUUAAUCUCAACUUCUCCCGAUAACACGUUCUAGUGAUUUUGUUUCUAUUUUCUACCAUGAUCAGCUAGAUCUCUAUCAAUUUGUUCAUGAUGAACUCUAUAUAGCGACUUUAUUGAAUUAAAUCAUGAACAUAGGCUCUUUACAAUACGAUUCGAACCUGUUACCCGAAUAUCAUACAAAAAUCCCAUAGAAAAAGCGAAUGUUCGCGGCAAAUCGGAAUCGCGGCUUCAUCUGGCCUCCCUGUUUACGAAAUAGGUCUUCCCCGCCAUAUCUGCCGUCUGCGAUUCUCUUGUGAUUCCUCAUUGAAUCACCGAUUUGAUUACCUCGAUUAGGGGAAAUUAGGGGGGAGAAAUUUCCAGAAUGAUCGCCUUCGCCGCUGCCAUUGGGAAUCGAUUGGAGCCCUCCUCCUCGGAAAUCGCUUUCGUUGGAAGUUUGGUGUUUUGUGUUCAUAAUGGAUGCGGCACUAUUUGGCCAUAGGAUGCUCACAUGGAGUGACGUUAGGGUAUAUGACAAGACAAUGCCAUCUUAGGCUUCUUUCCAAAAUCAUGGGAUUCUGAUCUUAUAGUGUGAUAUUUGAAUUGAAUAUCUCUCUAGUGUUCUUCUGUGAUGAAAUUUUCUGUUUGAAAUGAUUUCAAUUCUUGCACUGAUCCUCCUCUUGAAAGGUUCAUUUGCAUUAUGAUUGCUGGCAUUAAAUAGAUUUCUGGACUGUUAUCUGCUAGAA